rnacentral:rRNA from 1 species
UACAGAGGGGGCAAGCGUUGUUCGGAAUUACUGGGCGUAAAGGGCGCGUAGGCGGCCUUCUAAGUCGAACGUGAAAUCCCCGGGCUCAACCCGGGAACUGCGUCCGAUACUGGAAGGCUUGAAUCCGGGAGAGGGAUGUGGAAUUCCAGGUGUAGCGGUGAAAUGCGCAGAUAUCAGGAGGAACACCUAUUGCGAAGGCAGCUCGCUGGGACGUAACUGACGCUGAGACGCGAAAGCGUGGGGAGCAAACAGG